GAUGAAGAACGUAGCGAAAUGCGAUAAGUAAUGUGAAUUGCAGAAUUCAGUGAAUCAUCGAAUCUUUGAACGCACCUUGCACUCCUUGGUAUUCCGAGGAGUACGCCUGUUCGAGUGUUAUGAAGCUCUCAAAACGCAAUUGGCUUAAAACCUGAUUGUUGUUUUGGAUUUGAACUUUGCCGUGUUAUAACGGCUGGUUUUAAAAGUAUUAGCUGGUACUAGAACGAAUUGGUUCUACUCAACGUGAUAAUUAUCUGAUCGUUGAGGACAUUCCUUUCACGAGGAAUGGACAUAGUAAAUUCAAUGGACUGCUUCUAAUCUGGCUUUAAUUCUUUAUUGGAUUAACCACUUUUCAAAUCUGACCUCGAAUCAGGUGGGACUACCCGCUGAACUUAAGCAUAUCAAUAAGCGGAGGA
rnacentral:misc_RNA from 1 species